UACGUAGGGUGCAAGCGUUGUCCGGAAUUAUUGGCGUAAAGAGCUCGUAGGCGGUCUGUCGCGUCGGAUGUGAAAACCGUCGGGGCUCAACCCCGGGCCUGCAUUCGAUACGGGCAGACUAGAGUACGGCAGGGGGAGACUGGAAUUCCUGGUGUAGCGGUAGUAAAUGCGCAGAUAUCAGGAGGAACACCGGUGGCGAAGGCGGGUCUCUGGGCCGAAACUGACGCUGAGGAGCGGAAAGCGUGGGGAGCAAACAGG
rnacentral:rRNA from 1 species